AGUAGCUUUGUUUUAUGGGGUUGAGUUUAAUAGUUAAUACAUUUUCUGCUACUUCAGGUACACCUGACACAAUAACACAACUCAGUAAAACAUUAUCACUAAGUACAGCCUCAGUUAAUGUCUGUUUGAUGGUCUUUUAUUAAACUGUACAUCAAUAUAUUGUGUUAUAACCCUGUAGAUACAAUAAAUGUUAGAUAUUAAAAUACCUGUUUGUCUUCUUCAUCUUCAUGUUGGACAACUUGCAUGAACUACGUAUUUGUCUCAACGCUCUCUGAAGUGCAGAAGAUGAGUGACUGUGUGGAGGAAGAGAAGGACAGAGCAGAUAAUCCAAUGUCCAGCUGUCUGUCUAUGAAGAGUGACCGGUCUAAAGAUUUUGUUCCAGACUUCAGUAAUGAACCUGAACCCUCAGACACACAAAGUCAGUACCACCAACAGAGAGCAGAGUCUCCAAUGUCCAGCUGUCUGUCUAUGAAGAGUGACCAGUCUAAAGAUUUUGUUCCAGACUUCAGUAAUGAACCUGAACCCUCAGACACACAAAAGAAGAAGAGGAGUCAUGUUUCUGUGGAGGAGCAGCUGUCCUGCUGUGUUUUGUGUCAGGACGUCCUGAAGGAUCCAGUCUCUACCAGCUGUGGACACUGGUUCUGCAGACAGUGCAUCACCUCAUACUGGGACCAGUCUGCUUCAUCAGGAGACUCCUCCUGUCCCCAGUGUGGAGAAAGAUCCAGAACAAGAGCUGGACUGCAGACAGCCAGUCAGACCAGCACUGUACAAAGUAAGACUGUACAUCUGUCUGCUGAUGUCCUCAUGUCUGAAAACAGGACUUUAUAAUCUAUACA
rnacentral:lncRNA from 15 species